CGGGGGAGGCGUGUCGUGCACCACUCGCCGAGCCAAUGGGAAGAGCGAUUGUUGGCAGGCAGAGACGCUUCCUUUAGAGCAGGUGAAAAGAGAGCAGUCUCCAGCCCUCCACCAGACUGUGGUGCCGAAAGAAUGGGCAGCUUUAUUUUCUGGAAGCCACUUUGCAAUGGCAAUGCUUAGAAGAAUCUAGGAUGUUUCAAGAAACUGAAAGUGCUAUGUGGACCAACUGCACAACUAUUAUACUAUUAUGUUGAAAGAUGUAAUUGGAAAGACUUUCCGGCUUCUGGGGUAUACCAUUCAGUACGGGUGCAUAGCCCAUUGUGUAUUUGAAUAUCUUGGAGGAAUUGUGAUGUGUACAGGACCUUCAAUGGAGCCUACAAUUCAAAAUUCUGACAUUGUAUUUUCAGAGAAUCUUAGCAGCCACUUAUAUCGUAUUCAGAAAGGUGAUAUUGUCAUUGCAAAAAACCCAGCUGAUCCCAAAACAAAUAUUUGUAAAAGAGUAAUGGGCCUGGAAGGAGAAAAAGUCUGUACAAGCAAUCCGGCAGAUUUUAUAAAGACCCACAGUUAUUUUCAACUGUUUAACAUUACAUCUGAUGAAGUUAGUUCUCAAGUCUUAAGGUCUCAUUGCUAUUUACAAAUGAAAGUUGUUACUUGAACAGAAGAAAGACAUGUCAUUUACUGCAGGCAAGAUCUAUACUAACAAAACUGCUUUAUGCAAAUAGCGAUAAAAAGCUGAUAAACAAUUUCAUUUCUCAGCAACAUUUCACUGAUGGUCAAUUACUGCACACUCUUAAUGCCCUAGCAACAGCUGAUAGAGAAAAAUGUUUACUCUGUGCUGAAGUUAAAUUCAUUCUGGAGAUGAGGUGCGCCAUCAUCCUGUGGCUAUAUCUAAAGCUAACAGUCUGAAAAUUGUGUUAUGUUUGAGAACAGGUCUUACUCAGCAAUUUGUGAUAACUAUAGAUUAAUUAGCCUUUAAUAGUCAGUACUUAAUAGGAUGUGGCCAAGUCAUUACCUUUAUUUCAGUAUUUUGGAAAAUAUUCCAAUUUAAAUUGGAUCUGAAGCAAAAUUUAAAAAAAUCAUCUCUGAAGAAUCACAUGAUAAUCACAGCACUUUCAAUCUGCAAACAAAAUAUUAUGUCCUUUCUCUUUCAGGCAGUCCAAUGUGUGAGUGAAAAGAGAAUAUGAGAAAUUGGUAUAGGGAAAGGAAAGCACCUGCAUCCUUCCCUUCACCUAUGCCUUGUGAACAAUGAGUACCUAAAGGACAUGUUUGGUUAGAAGGUGAUAAUCUCAGGAAUUCUACAGAUUCCAGGUGUUAUGGUCCUGUUCCAUAUGGAUUGAUAAGAGGACGAAUUUGCUUUAAG